rnacentral:lncRNA from 1 species
CUUCUAACUCUUUAAUGUCAAGUUCAAGUUCACGAAGCAGUUCGUCAAGAUUUUUUUCUGAUGGUCGAGGACCUUUUCCCUUUCUGGGUGGUUGACCAGAAGGCUUUGGUCCUUUCAUUUGUGGUCUUCCAGAGGGUCUUGGUCCAUCUCUUUCUGGUUGACCAGUUGGUCUUGGUCUGUCACCAUCAAGUUCUCUCUCUUCUGGUUUUGGUCCUUUUCUUCCCUCUCCUUUCAUUGGAGGUCGUCCAGAGGGUCUUGGUCCAUCUCCUCCCUUUCCUUUCAUUGGAGGUCUUCCAGAGGGUCUUGGUCCAUCUCUUUCAGGUUGCCCACUAGGUCUUGGUCUGUCACCAUCAAGUUCUCUCUCUUCUUGUUUUGGUCCUUUUCUUCCCUUUCCUUUCAUUGGAGGUCUUCCAGAUGGUCUUGGUCCAUCUCUUUCUGGUUGCCCUGAAGGUCUUGGUCUGUCAUUAUCGUUUUGUUCU